rfam:Crassostrea gigas strain 05x7-T-G4-1.051#20 contig5055, whole genome shotgun sequence.
AUAGCUAAGUGGUUAGAGCACUGGCAUGGUAGGCCAGAGGCCCUGGGUUUGAGUCACAGU